UGCAGUCGAGCGGUAGAGUGAAGCUUGUGUCUCUUGAGAGCUGCGGACGGGUGAGUAAUGCCUAGGAGUCUGCCUGGUAGUGGGGACUAACGUCAGGAAACGGACGCUAAUACCGCAUAGGUCCUACUUUUGAAAGGAGGGGAUCUUCGUUGCUUGGGCUAUCCGAUGGGCCUUUGUGGAAUUAGCCACGUGGUGGGGUAAUGGUUCACCAAGGCCACCAUCCGUAGCUGGUCAUGGAGGAUGAUCAGUCACACUGGAACUGAGACACGGUCAAGACUCCUACGGCAGGAAUCAGUGGGGAAUAUUGGACAAUGGGUCAAAGCCUAAGCACGACAUGCUGAGUGAGUGAAGAAGGUCUUCUGAUUGAAAAGCUCUUUACGUUGGGAGGAAGGGCAGUAAAUUAAUACUUUGCUGUUUUGACGUUACCCACAGAAUAAGCACCGGCUAACUCUGUGCCAGCAGCCGCGGUAAUACAGAGGGGGCAAGCGUUAAUCGGGAAUUACUGAGCCUAAAACUACCCGUAGGUAGGUUCGCUCAAGUUGUGAUGUCAUAUCGUCUGGUCUCAAACGCGGGAGCUGCAUUCAAAGCUGGACGAUUUAGAGUAUGGUA
rnacentral:rRNA from 1 species